AUUAUGGCUCAGGAUGAACGCUAGCUACAGGCUUAACACAUGCAAGUCGAGGGGUAACAGGAGAGAAGCUUGCUUUCUUGCUGACGACCGGCGCACGGGUGAGUAACGCGUAUCCAACCUUCCCCUUAGUAGCGGAUAGCCCGGCGAAAGUCGGAUUAAUACGCUAUGUUCUUCGUUGAUGGCAUCUGAUGUGAAGCAAAGAUUAAUCGCUAAGGGAUGGGGAUGCGUCUGAUUAGGUAGUCGGCGGGGUAACGGCCCACCGAGCCAUCGAUCAGUAGGGGUUCUGAGAGGAAGGUCCCCCACACUGGUACUGAGACACGGACCAGACUCCUACGGGAGGCAGCAGUGAGGAAUAUUGGUCAAUGGGCGCGAGCCUGAACCAGCCAAGUAGCGUGCAGGAAUGACUGCCCUAUGGGUUGUAAACUGCUUUUAUCAGGGAAUAAAGUGAGGCACGUGUGCCUUUUUGUAUGUACCUGAUGAAUAAGGACCGGCUAAUUCCGUGCCAGCCGCCGC
rnacentral:rRNA from 1 species